UUUCGGGUGGAAGAGAGUCAGCUUAGUGGCGAACGGGUGAGUAACACGUGAGCAACCUGCCUUUCAGUGGGGGACAACAUUUGGAAACGAAUGCUAAUACCGCAUAAGACCACAGUGUCGCAUGGCACAGGGGUCAAAGGAUUUAUCCGCUGAAAGAUGGGCUCGCGUCCGAUUAGCUAGAUGGUGAGGUAACGGCCCACCAUGGCAACGAUCGGUAGCCGGACUGAGAGGUUGAACGGCCACAUUGGGACUGAGACACGGCCCAGACUCCUACGGGAGGCAGCAGUGGGGAAUAUUGCACAAUGGGGGAAACCCUGAUGCAGCGACGCCGCGUGGAGGAAGAAGGUCUUCGGAUUGUAAACUCCUGUCCCAGGGGACGAUAAUGACGGUACCCUGGGAGGAAGCACCGGCUAACUACGUGCCAGCAGCCGCGGUAAAACGUAGGGUGCAAGCGUUGUCCGGAAUUACUGGGUGUAAAGGGAGCGCAGGCGGAUUGGCAAGUUGGGAGUGAAAUCUAUGGGCUCAACCCAUAAAUUGCUUUCAAAACUGUCAGUCUUGAGUGGUGUAGAGGUAGGCGGAAUUCCCGGUGUAGCGGUGGAAUGCGUAGAUAUCGGGAGGAACACCAGUGGCGAAGGCGGCCUACUGGGCACUAAUCUGACGCUGAGGC
rnacentral:rRNA from 1 species